CUGCUCCUGAUUCCUCUGGUGGCAGAGGGGUCGCAGGCCCAUCGGCUUGUGACUGCUUGCCCACAGCAGGAGCUGAAAGCCUGUCCCAGUAACCCCUUCCUUCUUGCCUGUGCCUUCUGCAGAGGUUUGGAAAAGCUCUUCGUCAAAUGGAGUCGGCAAUGAUGACUAUUUAAUAACAAAUUAAACAUUUUUGUGACCCUUCCAAUGCUAAUUAUGGUUUUCCUAGCCUGAGCAGCCUCUCUUUGUGGUGUGGCUGCUGCCAAGGCAUGAAGCCACACAUGGAAAUUGAAUAUAUAACAUUCAAACUUCAGCAUAGGUCGAGGUUUCGUUUCAGACUUGGCCAGAGGUGCUGGCGGGUUUAAUUACCGCUUUUAUUUAUUGAUUGAUUUCUUUAACCCUGUGAUGAGCUGCAGCACUGUUAAGCAAUUGUGCUCAUUUGCAAAUCAAGUCUCUUCCCUGCUCUCUGCUGCUCAGAGCACUCCCAGGUCAGGGGGAAGCUCAGUGGCUUCUUCGCAGAGGGUGUAGGGAGCUGCAGCGUGAAUUUACAGCCCGGGGGCCACAUGCUGUGCCUGAGGCAGCUCCUGCAGUCAGAUAAACGCUUGCUGGUAUUAGGACCUGGGGACUGGGCCGGCAGAGCCCCACUUCCUGCACCCCCAUCUCCAGAUCUGCAGAAAGUCCUACGAGCUGGACAACCUCCUGCGUGGGGCAAGACGUGAGCUCCAGUUCUUCGUCUCCAACCCGGAUCCAGACGUUCUGGUUUUCUGGAGGGCGCUCAGCCGAGUAUGAAGGAGACGGACCACAGCACUGGAAACAGAGUCUAAUUACAACAUAAGCAAAAGAAAACAAAGUUAAUCCCCCAAAGCCCAAGUUAUUCCUAAAGCAAUAAACUGGUAAAUCUUGGUGUGGUAAUAAAAAGUAGAAAUACAGGUUUUGCCGCGCUAAAUAGGACAACUAUGUUGUCUGUUCCUAUCGUGGCCUGUUACUAACAGUUCAAGAGAUUCCAAAUUUAAUGGACAUUUUUGCAAGGCAGCAGGUAAAAAAUAGUUUUCUCACCAACAGCUUAUGCUGAUCCCUAAAACAUAUGGUUAGCUUCACCUCAAACUUUGCAUGAAUAACGCUAAGUUUGCAUGAGUAAUAUGAUACAUCAUACAAAGUGAUUUAACCACUCUAUUUGAGCAUCUAUCUUACUGAUACUAUUUAUUUAAUUAGUUGUUUCAUGCUAUAAAGCUUCAAGAACUCUGUAAGUCAAGAGAUGUGAAGUGAAAAGUGUCUAUGAAAGCUUCUAAGAAAACCAUUAGCAUUGAGAAGUCAAACUGGUCAGUUAUUUAAGAAGGUAUUUAGAAGUUAAAGAACUGAGGGAAUAUAUUAAGCAUUGGAAAAAGGAAGAAAGACCACUAUGAAAAAUCUCAAAGUCCACAGGCUGUUUUUCAAAAAGAACUGUCUCACAAAGUAUUUUAGUAACAUC